rnacentral:rRNA from 1 species
AACGAACGCUGGCGGCAGGCUUAACACAUGCAAGUCGAGCGCGUAGCAAUACGAGCGGCAGACGGGUGAGUAACGCGUGGGAAUCUACCGUACCCUACGGAAUAGCUCCGGGAAACUGGAAGUAAUACCGUAUACGCCCGAAAGGGGAAAGAUUUAUCGGGGUAUGAUGAGCCCGCGUUGGAUUAGCUAGUUGGUGGGGUAAAGGCCUACCAAGGCGACGAUCCAUAGCUGGUCUGAGAGGAUGAUCAGCCACAUUGGGACUGAGACACGGCCCAGACUCCUACGGGAGGCAGCAGUGGGGAAUAUUGGACAAUGGGCGCAAGCCUGAUCCAGCCAUGCCGCGUGAGUGAUGAAGGCCUUAGGGUUGUAAAGCUCUUUCAGUGGGGACGAUAAUGACGGUACCCACAGAAGAAGCCCCGGCUAACUUCGUGCCAGCCGCCGCCGUAAAAC